rnacentral:rRNA from 1 species
UGGGGAAUUUUGGACGAAUUGGGCGAAAGCCUGAUCCAGCAAUGCCGCGUGUGUGAAGAAGGCCUUCGGGUUGUAAAGCACUUUUGUCCGGAAAGAAAUCCUUGGCUCUAAUACAGUCGGGGGAUGACGGUACCGGAAGAAUAAGCACCGGCUAACUACGUGCCAGCAGCCGCGGUAAUACGUAGGGUGCAAGCGUUAAUCGGAAUUACUGGGCGUAAAGCGUGCGCAGGCGGUUUGCUAAGACCGAUGUGAAAUCCCCGGGCUCAACCUGGGAACUGCAUUGGUGACUGGCAGGCUAGAGUAUGGCAGAGGGGGGUAGAAUUCCACGUGUAGCAGUGAAAUGCGUAGAGAUGUGGAGGAAUACCGAUGGCGAAGGCAGCCCCUGGCAAGUACUGACGCUCAUGCACGAAAGCGUGGGGAGCAAACGGAUUAAUACCCU